AUGUACCAAUCUUUGUGAUGUGUGUUUUAUUUCUCAGCACUUACAGGGUUGAAGCUGUCAUUUUCCCAUGAUACUGAAGAGAGAAUAGAGGCUGGAUAGGACAUUGAACAUGGUAUAUCUUCAACCCAGAGUGUUUCUCCAAGAAAGCAGAGCUUUUAACCAGUCUUCUUUGCUGCCUCCUGGUUCAUGGGAGGUAUAAAUGUACUGGUUUCAGCUUCUGACUGCAUUGCACAGAGCUAUGUUAGAAGCAGAUGCUAAGACUUCCAGUUCACCAGCACAUCUACCUGGUGAUCCAGGGAGAGCCAGAGUCCAGCGCACUGAGGAGCUCAAGCCUGCACAUUGCACAGGUGCCACGUUGGUCUGGACCAGUUGGGAUUUUUUCUCCAACAUCAUUCAUUCCUCCUCUGUCAAACCAGUCAGUGCUGCCUGUGAUCCUUUACUGAGAGAACUGUUGUCAGCUCCUGUCUGGUAUCAUCAACUCACAGCCUCCACAUAUACAUCAAGCCCCCAGCAGCUCUUAGAGG
rnacentral:lncRNA from 1 species